ACAAUCAGGAGAAAACAUAACGAAUUGAACAAUUAGUGGACAAUAUCUUUCAAUGAAGCUGAACAUAAUAGCAACAGUUAUUUUUAAAAUUAUAAACAGUGUUGAAUAUUAAAUCAUUUUCGUCAAAAUUAAAAAAUAAUAUUGAUUGACAUCAACAACAACAAAUUGUAUUGGGUACAAAGAGUAAAGGAACCUUGACACUUUGAUUGGGUAAAAGGCGGGUUGCUAAACUUAAGGCUAUCAUUGCUAUCUUCACAGCAAUUAACGUUUCGUUUAAAUAACUCCGAAUUUUAUUUCUCAAGUGAUUGAAAUAUUUUGACGAUGAAAAAUUAUUUUUGUUCAUUUAACUGAAUAUUUUUAUUGAUAUUGUGAACAUUAUCAACUAUCCAGAUAGCCAAGCAAUUAUACUUCAUUACAAUUAAACAAGUAGAGGGAUCACAAGUGAGUUGAAUACAAGGAUCACUUCAAUAACCACAAUCUUCAUCAAAGAUUAGUCAACAACCAAGGAACACAGAACUUUCAAUUUUUCCAAUACUGACCAAUAAAUUGUAAACAUAGUUGGAAAGCAAUAAAACAGAUGACUUUUACCUGAAAGGAUGAUAUUUAAUUUCCGCUGUUUGGUAUAUUGAACAUGAUUUGCGUUCCACUGCAUUAGGCACAAAGUCCACAAAAGUUAAUUUAGUUUCUGGUUUAAUAUGAGAAUCGAGUAUUUGAGGAUCUUCUGGUUGAAAAGUUUCUUUAAACAUGUACAAAGCCCAGGCCAUUUUUGGUAAAGCGUAUAAGGACUCAAGCGGAUUAGAAGGAAACAGUAAACCAAUUUUUACCAAAACCUGGAAAGAUGUCAAUCUCGUUAAUUGUUGAAGCUAUCAUUUGAACACCAAUCAACACUAAUUAGCCCAGAGUCUCACAAAAUAUACACACUGCAUCAACUUAAAUGUGAAUGUUGAACACUAAAGCAUGAACAAAUGAUCACAAAAUACAGUUAAAUGAUUGUGAAUCUUUGGUGUUGGUGAACUAGAGUAAAAUUAACUCAGUUGAAAAAUGUUAUAAUCAAUCAUUUAAACUAACAACAAGAUACAAAAUUGUAUUUACUAGACUUGACUUGUGAACUUUUUCGUCUCAUCAAAAUUAACACACAAGUUAUUGUUUUUGUGUUUAACUAUUAACUACCUGUUCGUUGGUGAAAAGAUCGUUAAAAAGAGACUAAUGAACAGAGUGAGAAUAAAGAUGAAGAUGAGGAAGAAAAGCAGUAAAAUUUAGUCUUGCGCCGCAAAAAAAUAAACCCUCGAUCAAUACUCGA